rnacentral:lncRNA from 1 species
UCCGGUCUCUAAUCGAUUUUUAUUUGUGCCGUAAUGACCCUUGCAGAUUAGCUCGGUCGAAAGGUCGUUUCCUGGUCAAAUUCUCUAGUCUGAUGCAUUAGAAACUCUUAACAGCUUUACCCGAUAGACUAGCUUUCACAUGAGUGGCCGACUCAAGAAAAAGAACUAUAUGCGUGCCAACGAAAUGCCCGUCUCAAAUUAUUGAAAAUAGAAUUGAAAAAUCGGGAUGUCACAACUCUUCCCCUCUUAUAAAAAUUUCGUCCUCGAAAUUUAAACCAUUAAAAUUCUUCUUCAAAAUGGUGGGGUAUUGUCGUCUCAUCAAUUCUGCUCCUUCAUUCUGCUUCACACUGAUAUCCAAGAUCCUCGGUGUUGACAAAACGUUUCCAAAUGGCCAAACCAAUUCUUGAUUCCCAAAGAAGCUAAGCACUUGUCCAUCUUUACAAAAAUGAAAGCUGCAAAAAUUUUGGUUUUUUUUUUCUUUAUUUUUCCACAAAGCGGCUAACUGCCGCGUCGGGGAUUUGAACUCCCGACUUCGGACCACUGCUUCACACCCGGAUACCAACUCGGCUAGAGGCGCCGAAGGUGUCC